rnacentral:rRNA from 1 species
CCCCGUGCACCUUUACUACAGCUUCACAGUGGUGUUAGUGACGGCAUGUGUAGGAUAGGUGGUAGGCUUUGAAACUUGGGCGCCAGCUCAGGUGGAGCCACCCUUGAAAUACCACCCUUAUCUUCAUUGACAUCUAACCGCGGCCCGUUAUCCGGGUCCGGGACCCUGUGUGGUGGGUAGUUUGACUGGGGCGGUCGCCUCCCAAAUAGUAACGGAGGCGCGCGAUGGUAGGCUCAGACCGGU